UACAGAGGUCCCGAGCGUUGUUCGGAUUCACUGGGCGUAAAGGGUGCGCAGGCGGCGGUUCGCGUGGCGAGAUGAAAUCUCCUGGCUUACCUGGGAGGAUGGUCGCCAGACGGGAUCGCUUGAGGGUCGGAGAGGGGCGUGGAAUUCCUGGUGUAGCGGUGAAAUGCGCAGAUAUCAGGAGGAACACCGGUGGCGAAGGCGGGUCUCUGGGCCGAUACUGACGCUGAGGAGCGAAAGCGUGGGGAGCGAACAGG
rnacentral:rRNA from 1 species